UGUAUAAUGGGUCAGCGACUUAUAUUCUGUAGCAAGGUUAACCGAAUAGGGGAGCCGAAGGGAAACCGAGUCUUAACUGGGCGUUAAGUUGCAGGGUAUAGACCCGAAACCCGGUGAUCUAGCCAUGGGCAGGUUGAAGGUUGGGUAACACUAACUGGAGGACCGAACCGACUAAUGUUGAAAAAUUAGCGGAUGACUUGUGGCUGGGGGUGAAAGGCCAAUCAAACCGGGAGAUAGCUGGUUCUCCCCGAAAGCUAUUUAGGUAGCGCCUCGUGAAUUCAUCUCCGGGGGUAGAGCACUGUUUCGGCAAGGGGGUCAUCCCGACUUACCAACCCGAUGCAAACUGCGAAUACCGGAGAAUGUUAUCACGGGAGACACACGGCGGGUGCUAACGUCCGUCGUGAAGAGGGAAACAACCCAGACCGCCAGCUAAGGUCCCAAAGUCAUGGUUAAGUGGGAAACGAUGUGGGAAGGCCCAGACAGCCAGGAUGUUGGCUUAGAAGCAGCCAUCAUUUAAAGAAAGCGUAAUAGCUCACUGGUCGAGUCGGCCUGCGCGGAAGAUGUAACGGGGCUAAACCAUGCACCGAAGCUGCGGCAGCGACACUGUGUGUUGUUGGGUAGGGGAGCGUUCUGUAAGCCUGUGAAGGUGUACUGUGAGGUAUGCUGGAGGUAUCAGAAGUGCGAAUGCUGACAUAAGUAACGAUAAAGCGGGUGAAAAGCCCGCUCGCCGGAAGACCAAGGGUUCCUGUCCAACGUUAAUCGGGGCAGGGUGAGUCGACCCCUAAGGCGAGGCCGAAAGGCGUAGUCGAUGGGAAACAGGUUAAUAUUCCUGUACUUGGUGUUACUGCGAAGGGGGGACGGAGAAGGCUAUGUUGGCCGGGCGACGGUUGUCCCGGUUUAAGCGUGUAGGCUGGUUUUCCAGGCAAAUCCGGAAAAUCAAGGCUGAGGCGUGAUGACGAGGCACUACGGUGCUGAAGCAACAAAUGCCCUGCUUCCAGGAAAAGCCUCUAAGCAUCAGGUAACAUCAAAUCGUACCCCAAACCGACACAGGUGGUCAGGUAGAGAAUACCAAGGCGCUUGAGAGAACUCGGGUGAAGGAACUAGGCAAAAUGGUGCCGUAACUUCGGGAGAAGGCACGCUGAUAUGUAGGUGAAGCGACUUGCUCGUGGAGCUGAAAUCAGUCGAAGAUACCAGCUGGCUGCAACUGUUUAUUAAAAACACAGCACUGUGCAAACACGAAAGUGGACGUAUACGGUGUGACGCCUGCCCGGUGCCGGAAGGUUAAUUGAUGGGGUUAGCGCA
rnacentral:rRNA from 1 species